GACGAACGCUGGCGGCGUGCUUAACACAUGCAAGUCGAACGGAAAGGCCCUGCUUUUGUGAGGUGCUCGAGUGGCGAACGGGUGAGUAACACGUGAGUAACCUGCCCUUGACUUUGGGAUAACUUCAGGAAACUGGGGCUAAUACCGGAUAGGAGCUCCUGCUGCAUGGUGGGGGUUGGAAAGUUUCGGCGGUUGGGGAUGGACUCGCGGCUUAUCAGCUUGUUGGUGGGGUAGUGGCUUACCAAGGCUUUGACGGGUAGCCGGCCUGAGAGGGUGACCGGACAGAGGCGCAGUGAGGUGCGGCGCAGACAGCCAAGGGGGGGAGGGGGGGGCAAGCAUGCGCGACGGGCGGAAUCCGGUGGCAUCAGGGGGGAGGGGUGGAUGACGGGGUCCGGGUUGUACUUCGAUUUGGCCUGGGAAGGAGCGUGAUUGACGGUAAGAGGCAAAGAAGCAGCGGCUAACUACGUGCGAGCAGCCUGGGUAAUAAUCGGACAACCACAAGCUUGAAC
rnacentral:rRNA from 1 species